rnacentral:rRNA from 1 species
UACGGAGGAUGCGAGCGUUACCCGGAUUUAUUGGGUUUAAAGGGUGCGCAGGCGGCACGGCAAGCCGGCGGUCAAAUCGCGGGGCUCAACCCCGCCCAGCCGUCGGAACUGCCGGGCUAGAGUGGGCGAGAAGUGCGCGGAAUGCGUGGUGUAGCGGUGAAAUGCAUAGAUAUCACGCAGAACUCCGAUUGCGAAGGCAGCGCACCGGCGCCCUACUGACGCUCAGGCACGAAAGCAUGGGUAUCGAACAGG